GGGGAUGUAGCUCAGUUGGUGGAGUGCUUGCCUAGCAUGCACUAAGGCCCUGGAUUCAAUCCCUAGCAACACCA
rnacentral:tRNA from 1 species